rnacentral:piRNA from 1 species
AACCAAGAGCGUCUCUCGCCUUUGCC